CAGUAGCCACGGGAAUACGAAGGGGGCUAGCGUUGCUCGGAAUGACUGGGCGUAAAGGGCGCGUAGGCGGAUGGCACAGUCAGAUGUGAAAUUCCCGGGCUUAACCUGGGGGCUGCAUUUGAUACGUGUUGUCUAGAGUGAGGAAGAGGGUCGUGGAAUUCCCAGUGUAGAGGUGAAAUUCGUAGAUAUUGGGAAGAACACCGGUGGCGGAGGCGGCGACCUGGUCCUUUACUGACGCUGAGGCGCGAAAGCGUGAGGAGCAAACAGGAUUAGAUACCCCAGUAGUCCCUGUCUCUUAUAC
rnacentral:rRNA from 1 species